rnacentral:rRNA from 1 species
UACGUAGGGGGCAAGCGUUGUCCGGAAUCAUUGGGCGUAAAGCGCGUGUAGGCGGUUACGUAAGUCUGCUGUGAAAGUCGGAGGCUCAACCUUCGAAGGCCGGUGGAUACUGCGUGACUAGAGUACGGAAGAGGAGAGUGGAAUUCCUGGUGUAGCGGUGAAAUGCGCAGAUAUCAGGAGGAACACCAACGGCGAAGGCAGCUCUCUGGGACGUUACUGACGCUGAGACGCGAAAGCGUGGGGAGCAAACAGG